rnacentral:rRNA from 1 species
AACAAACGCUGGCGGCGUGCCUAAUACAUGCAAGUCGAACGGGGUAGCAAUACCUAGUGGCGCACGGGUGGGUAACGCGUGGAUAAUCUGCCUUAGAGUGGGGGAUAACUAGUCGAAAGAUUAGCUAAUACCGCAUAAGACCACAAGAACUGCGGUUCAAGGGGUCAAAGGUUUUUCGCUCUAAGAUGAGUCCGCGUAAGAUUAGCUAGUUGGUGAGGUAAUGGCUCACCAAGGCGACGAUCUUUAACAGGUCUGAGAGGAUGAUCAGUCACACUGGAACUGAGACACGGUCCAGACUCCUACGGGAGGCAGCAGUAGGGAAUAUUGCACAAUGGAGGAAACUCUGAUGCAGCGACGCCGCGUGAGUGAUGAAGGCCUUCGGGUCGUAAAGCUCUGUCGCAGGGGAAUAACACAAUGAAUGUACCCUGUAAGAAAGGAUCGGCUAACUUCGUGCCAGCCGCCGCGGUAACAC